rnacentral:rRNA from 1 species
CCUACGGGAGGCAGCAGUGAGGAAUAUUGGUCAAUGGGCGCGAGCCUGAACCAGCCAAGUAGCGUGAAGGAUGACUGCCCUCCGGGUUGUAAACUUCUUUUAUAAAGGAAUAAAGUGAGGCACGUGUGCCUUUUUGUAUGUACUUUAUGAAUAAGGAUCGGCUAACUCCGUGCCAGCAGCCGCGGUAAUACGGAGGCUCCGAGCGUUAUCCGGAUUUAUUGGGUUUAAAGGGAGCGUAGAUGGGUUGUUAAGUCAGUUGUGAAAGUUUGCGGCUCAACCGUGGAAUUGCAGUUGAUACUGGCAGGCUGGAGUGCAGUUGAGGUAGGCGGAAUUCGUGGUGUAGCGGUGAAAUGCUUAGAUAUCACGAAGAACUCCGAUUGCGAAGGCAGCUUACUAAACUGCAACUGACGUUGAUGCUCGAAAGUGUGGGUAUCAAACAGGAUUAGAUACCCGUGUAGUC